rnacentral:lncRNA from 1 species
AUGCAAAUAGAGGAAAACAACAGAAUGGGAAAGACUAGAGAUCUCUUCAAGAAAAUUAGAGAUACCAAGGGAACAUUUCACGCAAAGAUGGGCUCGAUAAAGGACAGAAAUGGUAUGGACCUAACAGAAGCAGAAGAUAUUAAGACGAGGUGGCAAGAAUACACAGAAGAACUGUACAAAAGAGAUCUUCACAACCCAGAUAAUCAUGAUGAUGUGAUCACUCAUCUAGAGCCAGACAUCUUGGAAUGUGAAGUCAAGUGGGCCUUAGAAAGCAUCACUACGAACAAAGCUAGUGGAGGUGAUGGAAUUCCAGUUGAGCUGUUUCAAAUCCUGAGAGAUGAUGCUGUGAAAGUGCUGCACUCAAUAUGCCAGCAAAUUGGGAAAACUCAGCAGUGGCUCCAGGACUGGAAAAGGUCAGUUUUCAUUCCAACUCCAAAGAAGGGCAAUGCCAAAGAAUGCUCAAACUACCACACAGUUGCACUCAUCUCACAUGCUAGUAAAGUAAUGCUCAAAAUUCUCCAAGCCAGGCUUCAGCAAUACAUGAACCGUGAACUCCCUGAUGUUCAAGCUGGUUUUAGAAAAGGCAGAGGAACCAGAGAUCAAAUUGCCAACAUCCGCUGGAUCAUGGAAAAAGCGAGAGAGUUCCAGAAAAACAUCUAUUUCUGGUUUAUUGACUAUGCCAAAGCCUUUGACUGUGUGGAUCACAAUAAACUAUGGAAAAUUCUGAAAGAGAUGGGAAUACCAGACCACCUAACCUGCCUCUUGAGAAAUCUGUAUGCAGGUCCGGAAGCAACAGUUAGAACUGGACAUGGAACAACAGACUGGUUCCAAAUAAGAAAAGGAGUCCGUCAAGGCUGUAUAUUGUCACCCUGCUUAUUUAACUUCUAUGCAGAGUACAUUAUGAGAAACGCUGGACUGGAAGAAACACAAGCUGGAAUCAAGAUUGCCGGGAGAAAUAUCAAUCACCUCAGAUAUGCAGAUGACAUCACCCUUAUGGCAGAAAGUGAAGAGGAACUAAAAAGCCUCUUGAUGAAAGUGAAAGAGGAGAGUGAAAAAGUUGGCUUAAAGCUCAACAUUCAGAAAACGAAGAUCAUGGCAUCCAGUCCCAUCACUUCAUGGCAAAUAGAUGGGGAAACAGUGGAAACAGUGGCAGACUUUAUUGUUUUGGGCUCCAAAAUCACUGCAGAUGGUGACUACAGCCGUGAAAUUAAAAGACGCUUACUCCUUGGAAGAAAAGUUAUGACCAACCUAGAUAGCAUAUUCAAAAGCAGAGACAUUACUUUGCCGACUAAGGUCGGUCUAGUCAAGGCUAUGGUUUUUCCUGUGGUCUAG